UACGGAGGGUGCAAGCGUUGUCCGGAAUUACUGGGCGUAAAGGGCGCGUAGGCGGAUAGUUUAGUCAGAGGUGAAAGCCCAGGGCUCAACCUUGGAAUUGCCUUUGAUACUGGCUAUCUUGAGUUCGGGAGAGGUGAGUGGAAUGCCGAGUGUAGAGGUGAAAUUCGUAGAUAUUCGGCGGAACACCAGUGGCGAAGGCGACUCACUGGCCCGAUACUGACGCUGAGGCGCGAAAGCGUGGGGAGCAAACAGGG
rnacentral:rRNA from 1 species